rnacentral:misc_RNA from 1 species
UGGUUCUGGCAUCGAUGAAGAACGCAGCGAAAUGCGAUAAGUAAUGUGAAUUGCAGAAUUCAGUGAAUCAUCGAAUCUUUGAACGCACAUUGCGCCCCUCGGUAUUCCGGGGGGCAUGCCUGUCCGAGCGUCAUUGCUCCCCCUCAAGCUUCGGCUUGGUCCUGGGCUCGGCGCCUAUUUGGCGGGCCCGAAAUGUAGUGGCAGUCCGGGGCGACUCCGAGCGCAGCACGAGCCUGGUCCGCUCCGGGAGCGCGGCCCCGGGAUCGCCAAUCCAACCCCGUCGACCGGUUUUUCACGGUGGACCUCGGAUCAGGUAGGGAUACCCGCUGA